CCCUUAGAUGUUCUGGGCUGCACGCGCGCUACACUGAUGCGUUCAACGAGUUUAUGACCUUGCCCGAUAGGGUUGGGUAAUCUUUUUAAAUCGCAUCGUGAUGGGGAUAGAUUAUUGCAAUUAUUAAUCUUCAACGAGGAAUUCCUAGUAAGCGCGAGUCAUCAGCUCGUGCUGAUUACGUCCCUGCCCUUUGUACACACCGCCCGUCGCUGCCCGGGACUGAGCCGUUUCGAGAAAAGCGGGGACUGCUGCUGUCGGGGCUUUCGGGCCUUGGCUUCGGUGGAAACCGCUUUAAUCGCAGUGGCUUGAACCGGGCAAAAGUCGUAACA
rnacentral:rRNA from 1 species